rnacentral:rRNA from 1 species
UACGGAGGAUGCGAGCGUUAUCCGGAUUUAUUGGGUUUAAAGGGUGCGCAGGCGGUCUGUCAAGUCAGCGGUCAAACUGCGGCGCUCAACGCCGUACCGCCGUUGAAACUGGCGGACUCGAGUGUGUGGGAGGAUGGCGGAAUGCGCGGUGUAGCGGUGAAAUGCAUAGAUAUCGCGCAGAACCCCGAUUGCGAAGGCAGCUGUCCACCACGCCACUGACGCUCAUGCACGAAAGCGUGGGUAUC